rnacentral:rRNA from 1 species
GACGAACGCUGGCGGCGUGCUUAACACAUGCAAGUCGUACGGUAAGGCCCUUUCGGGGGUACACGAGUGGCGAACGGGUGAGUAACACGUGAGUAACCUGCCCACAACUUUGGGAUAACGCUAGGAAACUGGUGCUAAUACUGGAUAUGUGCUCCUGCUGCAUGGUGGGGGUUGGAAAGCUCCGGCGGUUGUGGAUGGACUCGCGGCCUAUCAGCUUGUUGGUGGGGUAGCGGCCUACCAAGGCGGCGACGGGUAGCCGGCCUGAGAGGGUGACCGGCCACAUUGGGACUGAGAUACGGCCCAGACUCCUACGGGAGGCAGCAGUGGGGAAUAUUGCACAAUGGGCGCAAGCCUGAUGCAGCAACGCCGCGUGCGGGAUGACGGCCUUCGGGUUGUAAACCGCUUUCAGCAGGGACGAAGCUUUUUGUGACGGUACCUGCAGAAGAAGCACCGGCUAACUGCGUG